GGUAACAUUAGAAUAACGGUACUCCCUUUUCAUGUGGUUACUGUGAACACUUAGUGAAUAAUGCAUAUUAUCAUGAAUAAUAUAAAGAACAGUACCUGGCUUGCCAUACCACUUAGUAACAGCUCUUCCUGAGGUGAGUACACCAAGAUCCACUUGGAGCUGCCCGGCUGUGUAUGAUGAAGAAGCCAAGUCCCCACCAGAACUGAGACUGUAGCGUUUCUAUGUUCACCGUGCAUCACACAAAGGAACUAAGCAGGGUUGCAAGCACUCCAGUAAGAAGGCAGAGAUCCGAGUUCUAAUAAGAAAUAGACCUGGACCUCAGACAGCUCACUGCCUCAGGGAAAUGAUGACAAACGAAUCAAAAUUGACAGGACUUGUGAAACGCACCAGGAUGGAGGUGUGCAGAGACAACAGGAGGCACGGCAGAGGCGCCAAGAUCAAACACAAGAUCCAUAUUCCAGAAUACUGGAGGUGUUCGCAGCUCUCUGUGGAUUCUCUGAGAACAAAGAAUGAGCCCAUUUUGACACAGAGAAGAUAAUCACUCUGCAGAAACAAUCCAAGGGUGGCAGUGGGCAGGCAGGGUAUGUAAGCACCAUCUCAUGAGCUGCACAGCAAGUGACCCAUGCAGUUAGAUCUCAGGCCUCUGUCCUAUGGUCACCACACAGCUCUGAGUUCAUGACCAUCAUCACUAGACCUGAGUGUGGACUCCUUCCUGGUGCUCCUCCGGGCAUCCAUGUAAAGAGUCUUUUGACCACUGUUCCAAAAGUCAGCUCAACAGCUUCUGAAUAACACUCGGUACCUAGCUGCAAGGCUGGUCAGUUCUACUUCCAAAAUGUGUGUCCAGCGGGUUCUUUUCUCAGCUUGUUCACUCCCAGUAACCCCCAAGACCAUCACAAAUUAACACUCAUUUUUAUCUGGACAAGGGCAGGUCCCUCCCCAUGGCUGCCACCCAUCCCCACCCACUCCCAGCCAGGGUGACUUUAACCAGAGCCAAUCAUGUCACUCUCUUGCUUUAACAGUUUCAGUGGAGUCCUCUUACUCCUCCAAUAUUCCCAAACUCUUCACGCAUCCUCAGGUCCUCUCAAGAUCCGGCCCUCUACAGUUUAGGGUUCUUCUACAGAUUGGUCUUCCUCAAUCCUCUCUCCAGGAUUCUCACAUAUACUCUUUGACCCUCCAGAGUACUCAUCCAGCCCACAAGCACCCAGCCCUGCCUGGACGAUUCCCUCAGGCCCCAGGUGAGAGGUUACCUCUCUUGGGAAGACCUGCAAGCCCUCCCCUCCCCAGCCAGAACUCUGCCUUUCCUGCAUAACAUUAAGCCCCUUUCAAGUCUUUUGUGUUUGAUGUCCGUUUGAUCUGUCUCUCCCACUCUUCUGUCUACUUCAUGAGUGAGGAGAGGCCUGCAGGCAUCUGUGAGCUGCAGUGGCUCCAUCUCUUAUCACAGCCUUCGGCACAGAGUAGACAUGCGUCCUAGCUGUUGAAUGAAGAAUGAGGAAAAAUCCCUUCUCUCUCUCCUAGAAAAAAAGCUUAUACUCACAGCCGAAUGUCUACUACUUUUGCAAGUAAAAUUAAAAGUGUGUCCCUGUGUGGCAUGCAAAUCUUAGUUAGGAUGAACAAAGGUCUCUAUGAUCAUGCCUAAAGGAAGGACACUCUUUAAAAAGGAGGAAGGACACUCUAAAAUAGAAGUCUCGCAAUUCCAUGCAUCCGCGUGUCAACUCUAAUCGCAAAUCACCAGCCUGAGAAACUGACAAGUGAUUCUGAUGCAAGUGUUUUUAAUAAAGAGCUUAGGUAGAAAUCUCAGACCCUGAGGUAGUGAUGCUGUUUAACUGGAGAGCUCAAUCGCAUCAUUGAGUCCCAGCACCCACAAGGAUUGGACGCGUGAUUUUAAACAGCUCACGGAGUCAGCGCUUCCUUCUGGUCACUCACUCCCAGAGUCCAUGUUGUUCCUGGCCCCGUCAGACGGCAGCUAAACGUCAGCCCCGAGCUAGUUGCAGUGAUGGUUUCUCAGAGGAAUAACCCCGAGCCCGUGGGUUGUCUGCCAGGGCACUGCAGGGCUGGCACAAGCCCCGUGGGCCCCCCAUGACCUCUGCCGGGUGUGCCACAUCACACUUGCACAGUGACCUCUGUUUCCUGGCACGUUUUCAUGACAGUGUUCAAGUCGCCCCAAAGUCAGGAAGCAGGAGACGCAGCCUCCGUCUCUCCAUGUGUGAAGAAACCAGACUUCAGGAGGGCCAAGGGUCCAGUGUCCAAUGUCCAACC